ensembl:snRNA U6 U6 spliceosomal RNA
UUAAUAUAAUUGCAUCACAUAUACUAAAAUUGGAACAAUACAUAGAAGAUUAGCAUGGCCCCUGUGCACACAGUAUUUUCAAAGGCAUGAGCAUGCUAG